rfam:Acidithiobacillus caldus SM-1, complete genome.
CGCUUUUUUCGUGCAAGCGGAGCUCGGCCGCAAGCUCAAGUCGUAACGGCCUGCAUCGACCAGCACCGAGAAACCUACAGGGUCGAGCCGAUCUGCAAGGUAUUGCAGGUUGCCCCG